UUAAACUGAGCCUAGUAUGUGGGGUCAGGAUGGUGCUGGCACUGUCAGGAGUCCAAGCAUGGAGCAGAUUCCAUUCAUGCAGGGAUCUACUGAGGAAAGACUGGAACACGAGGGGCUCUUCCCAAAGACUGAGCCCUUCCCUUGACCACCAAAAUGGAAGUCUCACAGACAGGACAAUACCUGGGAGAGAGAAAGAGUUACAGUCCUGGCACUACCUGUGGGAAGCUGGAGCUUAUCCGUUAUGGCAAGUUGGGCAAAGUUCUCUCUCAGUUCUCCUUGACCUUCUUGUGAC